UACGUAGGGGGCAAGCGUUGUCCGGAUUUAUUGGGCGUAAAGAGCGUGUAGGCGGCCAUUCAGGUCAGCUGUGAAAACUCGAGGCUCAACCUCGAGACGUCGGUUGAAACCGUUUGGCUAGAGUCCGGAAGAGGAGAGUGGAAUUCCCGGUGUAGCGGUGAAAUGCGCAGAUAUCGGGAAGAACACCCGUGGCGAAGGCGGCUCUCUGGGACGGUACUGACGCUGAGACGCGAAAGCGUGGGGAGCGAACAGGA
rnacentral:rRNA from 1 species